rnacentral:rRNA from 1 species
UACGGGGGGGGCAAGCGUUGCUCGGAAUACUGGGCGUAAAGCGUGCGCAGGCGGUUAUGCAAGACAGAUGUGAAAUCCCCGGGCUCAACCUGGGAACUGCAUUUGUGACUGCAUGGCUGGAGUGCGGCAGAGGGGGAUGGAAUUCCGCGUGUAGCAGUGAAAUGCGUAGAUAUGCGGAGGAACACCGAUGGCGAAGGCAAUCCCCUGGGCCUGCACUGACGCUCAUGCACGAAAGCGU